rnacentral:rRNA from 1 species
UAUAAACGCUGGCGGCGCACAUAAGACAUGCAAGUCGAACGGACUUAACCAUUAGUUUACUAUUGGAGCGGUUAGUGGCGGACUGGUGAGUAACGCGUAAGCAAUCUGCCUAUCAGGAGGGAAUAACAGUGAGAAAUCACUGCUAAUACCGCAUAAGCUGUGAGUAUCACAUGAUACAAAUAGAAAGGAGCAAUCCGCUGAUAGAUGAGCUUGCGUCUGAUUAGUUAGUUGGUGAGGUAACGGCCCACCAAGACGAUGAUCAGUAGCCGGACUGAGAGGUUGAACGGCCACAUUGGGACUGAGAUACGGCCCAG